rnacentral:rRNA from 1 species
UAGGGAAUCUUCCGCAAUGGGCGAAAGCCUGACGGAGCAACGCCGCGUGAGUGAUGAAGGUCUUCGGAUCGUAAAACUCUGUUAUUAGGGAAGAACAAAUGUGUAAGUAACUAUGCACGUCUUGACGGUACCUAAUCAGAAAGCCACGGCUAACUACGUGCCAGCAGCCGCGGUAAUACGUAGGUGGCAAGCGUUACCCGGAAUUAUUGGGCGUAAAGCGCGGGUAGGCGGUUUUUUAAGUCUGAUGUGAAAGCCCACGGCUCAACCGUGGGGAGUCAUUGGAAACUGGAAAGCUUGAGUGCAGAAGAGGAAAGUGGAAUACCAUGUGUAGCUGUGAAAGUCGUCGAGAUAUUGGGGAACACCAGUGGAGAAGGCGACUAUCUGGUCUGUAACUGACGCUACUGUGCGAAAGGGUUGGGAUCAAACAGG